rnacentral:rRNA from 1 species
GCAGUCCGAGCGGUAGAGAGGUGCUUGCACCUYCUUGAGAGCGGCGGACGGGUGAGUAAUGCCUAGGAAUCUGCCUGAUAGUGGGGGAUAACGUCCGGAAACGGACGCUAAUACCGCAUACGUCCUACGGGAGAAAGCAGGGGACCUUCGGGCCUUGCGCUAUCAGAUGAGCCUAGGUCGGAUUAGCUAGUUGGUGAGGUAAAGGCUCACCAAGGCGACGAUCCGUAACUGGUCUGAGAGGAUGAUCAGUCACACUGGAACUGAGACACGGUCCAGACUCCUACGGGAGGCAGCAGUGGGGAAUAUUGGACAAUGGGCGAAAGCCUGAUCCAGCCAUGCCGCGUGUGUGAAGAAGGUCUUCGGAUUGUAAAGCACUUUAAGUUGGGAGGAAGGGUCGUUACCUAAUACGUGACGAUUUUGACGUUACCGACAGAAUAAGCACCGGCUAACUCUGUGCCAGC